CCUACGGGAGGCAGCAGUGGGGAAUCUUCCACAAUGGACGAAAGCCUGAUGGAGCAACGCCGCGUGAGUGAAGAAGGGUUUCGGCUCGUAAAGCUCUGUUGGUAGUGAAGAAAGAUAGAGGUAGUAACUGGCCUUUAUUUGACGGUAAUUACUUAGAAAGUCACGGCUAACUACGUGCCAGCAGCCGCGGUAAUACGUAGGUGGCAAGCGUGGUCCGGAUUUAUUGGGCGUAAAGCGAGUGCAGGCGGUUCAAUAAGUCUGAUGUGAAAGCCUUCGGCUCAACCGGAGAAUUGCAUCAGAAACUGUUGAACUUGAGUGCAGUAGAGGCGAGUGGAACUCCAUGUGUAGCGGUGAAAUGCGUAGAUAUAUGGAAGAACACCAGUGGCGAAGGCGGCUCUCUGGUCUGCAACUGACGCUGAGGCUCGAAAGCGUGGGUAGCGAACAGGAUUAGAUACCCUUGUAGUC
rnacentral:rRNA from 1 species